CCUACGGGUCGCAGCAGUGGGGUAUAUUGCACAAUGGGCGCAAGCCUGAUGCAGCCAUGCCGCGUGUGUGAAGGAGGCCUUCGGGUUGUAAAGCACUUUCAGCGGGGAGGAAGGCGGUGAGGUUAAUAACCUCAUCGAUUGACGUUACCCGCAGAAGAAGCACCGGCUAACUCCGUGCCAGCAGCCGCGGUAAUACGGAGGGUGCAAGCGUUAAUCGGAAUUACUGGGCGUAAAGCGCACGCAGGCGGUCUGUCAAGUCGGAUGUGAAAUCCCCGGGCUCAACCUGGGAACUGCAUUCGAAACUGGCAGGCUGGAGUCUUGUAGAGGGGGGUAGAAUUCCAGGUGUAGCAGUGAAAUGCGUAGAGAUCUGGAGGAAUACCGGUGGCGAAGGCGGCCCCCUGGACAAAGACUGACGCUCAGGUGCGAAAGCAUGGGGAGCAAACAGGAUUAGAUACCCCGGUAGUC
rnacentral:rRNA from 1 species